AUGGGCCAAACAGAUGCUAAGAAGCCGAGAGUAAAAAUGUCAUAAUAUUCCCUCCCUGUGCAAACUUGUUGAGAGGAGCCCAAGAUGAAGCACACAGAUGCUUCAGUCAGCUUCUCAGAAUAUUCUAAGACAUGCUCAGAGAGGUGAAAUAACACGUCUGCUAAAAAGAAAGGAAAAGUUGAAGACACGGCAAAAGCAGGCAAGGCCAUUAUGAAAGAGAAAUGAAAGCCUAUAUACCUCCUAAAGGAAGACAAAAAAGAAGUUCAAGGAUCCCAGUGCCCCCAAGAGGCCUCAUUUGGCUUUUUUCUUGUCCUGUUCUGAGUAUUGCCCAAAAAAUAAAGGAGAACAUCCCAGCCUAUACACUGUGAUGUUGUGAAGAAACUGGGAGAGAUGUGGAAUAACACUGCUGCAGAUGACAAGGAGCCUUAUGAAAAGAAGGCUGUGUGGCUGGAAAAAUAGGAAAGGGUAUUUCUGCGUGUUGAGCUAUAGGAAAGCCUGAUGCAGCAAAAAAGGGAGCCAUCAAGGCUGAACAAAGCAAGGAAAAGAAGGAAG
rnacentral:lncRNA from 1 species